rnacentral:lncRNA from 1 species
UAUUACAGUUGUGUACAACAGGUGAUUGUAUUAUAUAUCAGCUGUCAGAUAAAAACAGGUUGUAAUAAAUCUCAAGUGUAACAAAAAGACGAUGGACUGGAAUAAAAGAAGGAAGCGAUAACAGAAGGAGAUUUGUUUUGUUUCUAUUCACUUCCAAGUGGAACAUUGGAUAAAAUAAUUGUAUUUUGAAAGACCAUCAAUAUCUAGAAGAAUUUGAUACAAUUAAGCGAGACAAAUCAUGCACAAUAUUGGCUUUAUACUCACCGUUGCCGUUUUUCUAACUGCGGAUUUUGUUCAUCCUGCCAGCAUCGGAAAUUGCCCAGCGGUCAAACAUUCUCCAAAAACAAAAUGCGAAACCAACGAAGAUUGUCCAAAAGAACAUUCUUGUUGCACGUAUUUACUGAACAAACACGUCUGCGUUCCAUGUAAGUAACAC